GGGCACGCGUCCGCGCAGGCUCGUCCGGUCUCGUGAGAGCCAAAUGUCCCAGAAUUCAUUGCACCUCAGCAACGACGGAGGAAAAUAAACAUUAUAUGUUAUAAAUUCCGGAUUUACGUCACGGAAUGUGAUUUUCUCCGUGGAUGUGGGAGGUUUACGGUCUGCUUACCGGGACCGGCUGACUCCUCCAGCACCGGGAAGACCGAUGUUGUCCACCGGAGACGUUCCGUCUGUUUGAGGACGGACUUUACAUUCAGAACGUCAUGAUUAAAUGUAGCCGUAACGUCGUGUCCGUGUCCACAGAGCGCAGCUUGUGCAUUAAAACUAUGAUGUCCUUUUAAUCAAGGGACACGAGGACCGUCAGCGAGACUCUAAACCGGCAGCAAACGCACCGCGGGGUCGGCGGUUCGAACCCCAGCUGCUCCGUGUCUCAUGUCAAAGUGUCCCUGAGGAAAAUGUAAAAUGUUAAAACCAAGAGUUAAAAAAGACAACGUAAGUCGCUUUAGCGUCUUCAGUCCUUCAUCAGACAAGACGACAACACAAAGUGUCCCAUGAGAGUUUUAGUGUUGAGGUGGAUGAGCUCUGUGUGUUUGUCCUGAUGAAGAUAAAGAACAUGUGAGUUCUCCCAGCAGGUUGGUGUGAAGGUGUGAAGCUGUGGACUCUGCUAUGAAUCAGGCUGAGGACCCAGAGGACGGAGUCCGUCCCUCUGAAGCUCCUCUGUGUGGGGAACAUGACAGCCAGACCACAGCUCAGAGGACCCAUCAGAGACCUGGACCUGAUCCUGAACCCAGCUGUGUGUCCAUGAAGAGUAACCGGUUUAUGGAGACUCCUUAAAACUUCAAAGAUGUUCGUCCCUCUGUAGAUGCGAGAUGAUGAUCUCAGGCUGAUGAUGAGGUGUUUCUCAGGAAUCAGGAAACAUUAAUCACCAUAAUCUGUGAGAUACACAAGGAAUGUGACUUGGCGGUUGGUGCGUAACAGCAGACAGUACGACAAUGGAUGACAAGACAACAGUGCAGGAGGAAUAAAAUAAAAUAUAAGGCUAUGGGUUAGUUUAAAAAUAAAGGAAUAACAGUUCGUUAAAGCUAUUUCAAAAUUAAAAAGAAAGUGCACCAGCAAACAGAAAGUGACAAGUGAAAGUGACAUGUGCACCUCCUGCCAGAUGGAAGGGGCACUAACAGGUUUUGUCCGGGGUGAGAGGGGUCGGCUACCAUCUUUUUAGCUGCUUCAGAGACCUGGAAGCGAACAAGUCCUGCAGGGACGGCAGAUUGCAGCCGAUCAGCCUCUCUGCAGAGCGGAGGACACGCUGCAGCCUGCCCUUGUCCUUGGCUGUGGCUGCAGCGUACCAGACGCUGACGGAGGAGCAGAGGAUGGACUCCAUGAUGGCCGUGUAGAAGUGGACCAUCGUCGUCUUUGGCAGGUUGAAUUUCUUCAGCUGCCUCAGGAAGAACAACCUCUGCUGAGCCUUCUUGGUGAUGGAGCUCGAGGUCCUGGGUGAUGAUGGCGCCCAGGAAACGGGAGGAAUCCACGGUGGUGUAAAAGCGACUUACGUCGCAUUUUUAACCCACUGCUUUUUACAUUUUGCUCAGGGACACUUCGACAUGGGACGGGGUUUUAUAUGUUGUAAAUGUGUAAAACCCACUUUACUAAUAAAAUAACUUUUUGAUGAGUUUUAAGUCGUUUUGUUGUGCAGUUCUGAUCGUGACCACGGGGUGUCGCCCUUUACUUUCUCAUCGUCAGUGACUGAAACACCUUUACCAUCAC
ensembl:lncRNA